GCGGUCCCAAAAGACAGUAUGUCCAAAGGUGUAAAGAAGGAGCAUCUUGGACCAUGUAUCUAGCCAUCUUUGUGAACAAGGUUCAUGGGAGCCUUAAGGGAACCAAUCAGGAGCCAGCCCUUGCCUUGACCAGAUUGAAUCAACCAGUCACCAGCCAGCAUUCUCUACUCCAAUCAGAUCAAUUCACUCAUAUUGCAAACAAGAAAACUCCAUCCUAGCCAUCCAUUCCUCUCAAGUCAUUUAUAUCCAUUAGAUUUAGGUUUCUAGUGUUGCAAACAUGUAAAGCUUAUAUAAGCCAUGUGUAUGGACGUUUUGUAACUCUCUUAAGAGAGAGAGGGGGAUUUCCCCUCCUCAUUCAUAAUACAAAGUGUGUUCUUGGAUAAGAAUCCCUUAAUUUCUCCCUUUCUUAUACUUAAAUCUCUUAAUCUCUCUAAAUCUCUUGUUUAUGUCCAAGUUCAUACUGUUUUCAUUAGACCUUUCUCUCUUCAGUCCAAGCUCUCAUUUAUCCCUUAGUGGCUUCUUCUCACACACACAGCCUGAGCUCUGAAAACCUAACAUGGUAUCAGAGCCAGGUUCAUCAGAACUUGGUUCCAGCUUCCGCAUAUACAUCACAAGACUAGUCUCAUCUCUAAUCCAAACCAUAGAAGACUUGUCCAGCUGGUUCUCUCUCUUCAAGAAGAAUGUGUUUGAAGCUAUGGUGGUGUCUCGUGGUCGUUCCCCUUCUCUCAUGUCCAUUAAAGGUGUGGCUCAACUCUGGUCCAAGCUGAAACCAUUCAAGAAGAAAGCUUUCCCCUUGUUCCUGAAGUUGGUGACUUGGGGCUGUGAAGAAAGGUGGAGCCUUUUGAGUUGUUGUUUCAAGAAGGAGGUUAUGAACAAAAGGAGAGGGUAUUGGGUGACGAUCCAGCUCUCUUAUCCACCAGAGUCGUGUCCUGUUAUCAAGGAGGCUCAAGGAACCAGCUCAGGUUCCUUGGUUGUAAGCUAAUCCUAAACCUUCUUGAUAUGAGCUUGUGAUUGAAACUGGUUGUGUGUUGUGUUGUGUUUCAAUUCGUGGGUUAAUGACUGACAAUGCUUGAUAAUAUUGACUUGUUUAGUCCCAGGAUGCUAUUGAGUCUUGUUUGAUGUUGAGAAAUGAAAUGCUUGCCCGGUUUGGUUAUGAUUGUGCUAGGAUGUUAGAAACUGUCUAAAUCUUAUUAGCUUUCAUUAAACUGAAAUCACUUAAGGUUUUGCAUUGUCUGAUGUUGAUUGAUGAUAAGUAAUGCUUUGCCUCAGUUAUAAAUGAAUGUGUGAUAGAUUGUAGAGAAAUUACUUAUAAUGAAUCUGAUUAUACUUGAAAUGACUAGAAUAACUCAUAAACUUUUGCAAUUACUAGACUAACUCAGGUGACUAAUGAAAGUACUAAAAACUCAUCCUUCCUUUUCAUAUUCACUUUUUUUUUUUGAAAUUUCUUUUCAUAUUAGAUAAUUAUUUUAUUUUUCCCCUAAAAAGAAUUCUCAAUCUCUCAUUAUCCUCUCCGACGAAAGAAACGUCGAAGACGAAGGAGGGUUCUCUUCACUUCCGUCUCCGGUGAGCUCUCCUCUGGGACAGGCUCAUUCCGUUUUGUCAUCUCCACCUCAACUCGCCGUCGUCUGUCAUACAAAAAGAACCCUAAAUCCGAUUUCACUUUUGUCAAAAUCCACCUUUGAAUCUAAGAAAAUUGAACCUGGAUGUUUCAGACAGAACAUAAUUGGCGUUACUAUCAAUGGUUCCUUAGGAGAGGAUGCUUUGAUUUACUCACUCAAUGUGGUUGGUGUGUAAGUUUGUUUUUGUUACGUGAAUUACAUGGAUGUUUCAGACAAACCAAUGCCUCGAGGGGAGAUUGUGGCUGGUGAUAACAGUGUAACAGCAGGUUACUUCAACAAUCAAGCAAAAACCGAUGAGGUUUACAAGGUAGUUGAGCAGAGGCAGCUUUCUUUCAAGUAAUUACGUUGACAACAUUAUGGUACACACAGACCCAAUGAACAGCUACUAUGUAGCUCUUGUUGUAGCAUCAUAUAGAGCAUUAGAGAAAUGGGGCAGAGCAAGCAGGAGUUAAAUACAGCGACUUCUCUGAGCUAUGCGAGAACGGUGAUGCAGUAAACGAGGUUCAACAAUCUCUUACCAAGGCGGCAAAGCUAGAAAAGUUUGAAAUUCCAGCAAAGAUAAAGUUAUUGCCGGAGCCGUGGACAUCAGAGUCGGGACUAGCACAGCUGCUCUCAAGAUAAAGAGGGAGAAAAUAAAGGCCAAGUUCAAAGAUGAACUCCACAAGCUGUAAAAAGUCUUAUCUAUUACUUAUGAGUUGUGACAAACUUCAUGUACUUAGGGUUUUGACUUUACUUUUACUAAUAAAGUUUGAUCAUGAUGGAGUUGUUUUCUCCCCUUUUAAUACAAUAA